GACGAACGCUGGCGGCGUGCCUAAUACAUGCAAGUCGAGCGCAGGAAACUGACGGAACUCUUCGGAGGGAAGGCAGUGGAAUGAGCGGCGGACGGGUGAGUAACACGUAGGGAACCUGCCUCAAGGAUUGGGAUAACUCCGAGAAAUCGGAGCUAAUACCGGAUAGUUCAACGGGCCGCAUGGUCCGCUGAUGAAAGGCGCUCCGGCGUCACCUUGAGAUGGCCUUGCGGUGCAUUAGCUAGUUGGUGGGGUAACGGCCCACCAAGGCGACGAGGCAUAGCCGACCUGAGAGGGUGAUCGGCCACACUGGGACUGAGACACGGCCCAGACUCCUACGGGAGGCAGCAGUAGGGAAUCUUCCACAAUGGACGAAAGUCUGAUGGAGCAACGCCGCGUGAGUGAUGAAGGUUUUCGGAUCGUAAAACUCUGUUGUAAGGGAAGAACACGUACGAGAGGAAAUGCUCGUACCUUGACGGUACCUUACGAGAAAGCCACGGCUAACUACGUGCCAGCCGCCGCAGUAAAAC
rnacentral:rRNA from 1 species